GACGAACGCUGGCGGCGUGCUUAACACAUGCAAGUCGAACGGCAAGGCACUGCUUUUGUGGGGUGCUCGAGUGGCGAACGGGUGCGUAACACGUGAGUAACCUGCCCUUGACUUUGGGAUGACUUCAGGAAACUGGGGCUAAUCCCGGAUAGGAGCCCCUGUUGCAUGGUGGGGGGUGGAACGUUUCGGCGGUCGGGGAUGGACGCGCGGCUUAUCAGCUUGUUGGUGGGGUAGUGGCUUACCAAGGCUUUGACGGGUCGCCGGCCUGAGUGGGUGACCGGCCACAUUGGGACUGAGGUACGGCCCAGACGCCUACGGGAGGCGGCAGGGGGGAAUAUUGCACAGUGGGCGGGAGCCUGAUGCAGCAACGCCGCGUGCGGGAUGACGGCCUGCGGGUUGUAAACCGCUUCCGCCUGUGACGAAGCGUGAGUGACGGUAAUGGGUAAAGAAGCACCGGCUAACUACGUG
rnacentral:rRNA from 1 species